rnacentral:lncRNA from 1 species
CUCACCAUCGCCUCGUCGAUCCUCGCCGUUGGAGCCGUAUGCUUGGAGUUCUCCUGCGACUGCGUCGUCCACUACUGGCUCGCCUCCAUGCAUCUCGUAGCCGCCUCGGUAGUCCGUAGUCGUCUCCAGGCACAGAACCUCCGUUGUCGUCUCCGGGCACAGAACCUCCGUCGUCGAUUGGGUUGCGUCAAUUGAUUAGGGUUGUGGACUAUGGCAGUGGACGAAGACAUCAAUCAACUUAUUCUUGUUAUUAGGGAAAAAAGUGCCUUUCGUUUAUUUUCCUUUAGUUUAAGAAAGCACAGGUUGUACCACCGGACCGGUUCCGGUUGUUAUCUUAGUUUAAUCCUGUGUUUUGGAAUAAUUCAUCUUAUGGUGUGUGUGUGU